GAGUAAUUUCUCGCAAUUUGAUUGGCUGAUAUUGUCCUAAUAAAUUUCAGUACAAUUUUUUAUUACGUCAAUAGGAAUUAUCUCCCUUGUUUAUUACGUCAAUUGGGAUUAUCUCCCUUAUACCAUUGACCUAAUAAAAAAAAUUUAAAAAAUGAGUUGCUUCAUAGUCCUAAUUUUUUUAAUUUUUCACAGUUUUAGAUUAACAUGACUAAAUAUCUUAAAUAUAUUUGGUUGAUAUUGUC
rnacentral:lncRNA from 1 species